rnacentral:rRNA from 1 species
AGUGAACGCUGGCGGUAGGCCUAACACAUGCAAGUCGAACGGCAGCACAGUAAGAGCUUGCUCUUACGGGUGGCGAGUGGCGGACGGGUGAGGAAUACAUCGGAAUCUACUUUUUCUUGGGGGAUAACGUAGGGAAACUUACGCUAAUACCGCAUACGACCUACGGGUGAAAGCAGGAGAUCUUCGGACCUUGCGCGAUUGAAUGAGCCGAUGUCGGAUUAGCUAGUUUGCGGGGUAAAGGCCCACCAAGGCGACGAUCCGUAGCUGGUCUGAGAGGAUGAUCAGCCACACUGGAACUGAGACACGGUCCAGACUCCUACGGGAGGCAGCAGUGGGGAAUAUUGGACAAUGGGCGCAAGCCUGAUCCAGCCAUACCGCGUGGGUGAAGAAGGCCUUCGGGUUGUAAAGCCCUUUUGUUGGGAAAGAAAAGCAGCAGGUUAAUACCCCGCUGUUCUGACGGUACCCAAAGAAUAAGCACCGGCUAACUUCGUG